GAAUGCUGACAUAAGUAACGAUAAAGCGGGUGAAAAGCCCGCUCGCCGGAAGACCAAGGGUUCCUGUCCAACGUUAAUCGGGGCAGGGUGAGUCGACCCCUAAGGCGAGGCCGAAAGGCGUAGUCGAUGGGAAACAGGUUAAUAUUCCUGUACUUGGUGUUACUGCGAAGGGGGGACGGAGAAGGCUAUGUUGGCCGGGCGACGGUUGUCCCGGUUUAAGCGUGUAGGCUGGUUUUCCAGGCAAAUCCGGAAAAUCAAGGCUGAGGCGUGAUGACGAGGCACUACGGUGCUGAAGCAACAAAUGCCCUGCUUCCAGGAAAAGCCUCUAAGCAUCAGGUAACAUCAAAUCGUACCCCAAACCGACACAGGUGGUCAGGUAGAGAAUACCAAGGCGCUUGAGAGAACUCGGGUGAAGGAACUAGGCAAAAUGGUGCCGUAACU
rnacentral:rRNA from 1 species